CAAUAGCGUAUAUUAAAGUUGUUGCAGUUAAAAAGCUCGUAGUUGGAUUUCUGGUGGGAGCACGGGUCGGCCUUCACGGGUUGUACUGUUGUUGCGUCCUGCCGUUUCGGAGGGAAUGGUCAUGUUAUUAGGUUAGCGUGAUCGGAAACUCUGUCGUUUACUGUGAAAAAAUUAGAGUGUUCAAAGCAGGCCUUCGCUGUGAAUACAUUAGCAUGGAAUAAUAAGAUAGGACUGUAGUGCUAUUUUGUUGGUUUGCGUACUAUGGUAAUGAUUAAUAGGGACAAUUGGGGGCAUUUGUAUCAACACGUCAGAGGUGGAAUUCUUGGAUUGUGUUGCGACAAACUACUGCGAAAGCAUUUGCCAAGGAUGUUUUCAUUGAUCAAGAACGAAAGUAGGGAUCGAAGAUGAUUAGAUACCAU
rnacentral:rRNA from 1 species